rnacentral:rRNA from 1 species
ACAGAGGUCCCAAGCGUUGUUCGGAUUCACUGGGCGUAAAGGGUGCGUAGGUGGUGAGGUAAGUCGGAUGUGAAAGCUCGGAGCUCAACUCCGAAAUGGCAUUGGAAACUACCUUGCUCGAGGGUUGGAGGGGGGACUGGAAUACUUGGUGUAGCAGUGAAAUGCGUAGAUAUCAAGUGGAACACCAGUGGCGAAGGCGAGUCCCUGGACAACUCCUGACACUGAGGCACGAAAGCUAGGGGAGCAAACAGGAUUAGAUACCCUGGUAGUCCUAGCCGUAAACGGUGCAUGUUUGCUGUAAAAGGAAUCGACCCCUUUUGUGGCGGAGCCAACGCGUUAAACAUGCCGCCUGGGAAGUACGGUCGCAAGAUUA